ACUUCUACAGUAGAUGGCGAUAAUUCACCAGUAGAUGGAAUGCCCAAUCACCACAUCCAAAGAUGAAGAAGUGGGGGUGUCAUGCUUGGUGUUGCUUCUCCCCACUCUGUGUCUCUUUAGCUAACUGAAGAGAAAAUAGUCCUCUUUACUCCAUACUCCAUCAUUUUAUGACAGAAUUAUCAAACGCGGUCAGUUGCGUUUUUAUUAUUAGUCCCCCCCAGUGGCUUGUGGCUGCCUAGCUAGGCUAGCUACUCCCCUGUGUAGCAACACUUGGCUGGCUAGCUAGCUGUCUGAGCUAUUGUUUGUUGUUGUUGCAGUCAAAUCUCAAACAAAUCACAGAUGGUGUAAAACAAGCCCUCCAAGAUGAGCCAAGGAGGAGGACAGAUGAGAACAGCAUCAGCCAGGGGACAAAUGGUAGGGAAGAGGAUGAUUUAGGUGACCUAGACACAGGCCCAAAGCAAGUUAAGCUACCCCAGUAUCCCUUUGACUGUUUUGGAUUGAAAUACUAGAAACACACUAGACAAAACUCAGAGACAGCAACAGAAGAAUAGGAUAUGAUGGAGAGAGACACCAGACAAGACACAAAGACAGCAACAGAAGAAUAGGAUAUGAUGGAGAGAGACACCAGACAAGA